rnacentral:lncRNA from 1 species
AUGUGGACUAUACUCAUUAUAUGGGAAAUGGGGUUGAAUUCUAUUCUUGGCAAUGGAAAAUCCUUGGGGCACGCAAAUGGCAAUGCUCUGCUUUUGUUUUUUUCCCUUGCAUGGGGAGCCCUUGUCCUGAGCACCCCAGGAACCCCUGCCCCCCCCCCCCCCCCGUUCUGUGGGCCUUUCUUCUUCUUGCCCUUUUUACCUUUGGCCCCCGGCUCUGCUCUUUUGCCCUUUGUUUCCCUGAUGCAGCUGCAAUGGGAGAAAACACAGCACAUUUAUUUGGCAGUUAGGGAAAUGAGCAACCCGAUCCAGCCCAUGCAGCUUCGUACAUGUGGAGUCUCAACACAGUCUUCUGAACAGUGUGGGGAGAUGAAAACGCCCUGGCAAGGAGUUAAGGGCAGAGGUUCAUGCUGAAACAGUUCAAGUAUUUCAGUGACUCAACACACGAAGAGUUUAUGUGAUCUUCAUGCAGAGUCCACUGUGGAUGCUCCAGGUUGGGCAACUCUCCGUGACAGCCUUCCUUUGACCAGUGACUCAAGGACUCAGGCUACUCUUAUGUUAUGGAUUCUCCAACUUGGGGCAUUAUCUGCCUGGUAGGUUGAGGUGCAGGACCUGUGAAAGUGAAGCUGCAUAAACCAACUUAGCCUAGAAAUGAUGAUCACGGCCACCCUCGCUGCAAGUGAGGAUGGGAAAGGGAUAUCGGUGAAGAGUAGUAGUUUCUGCCAUGUUUCUUAAGUUGGGUACUUCGCUCAUUAAUAUAUAAUUCCUAAAAUACUAGUACUUAAGACUGUAAGUUUCCCUUGAAACAUCACUUUUGCUGUAUUUCACAAGGUUUGGCAUGUAGUAUUCUCAUUAUCAUUUAGUUCAUUAAAUGAUAUUUAAUUAUCAUUAAAAAACUGAUUUUUAAUUCCAUUAUGACUUGUUUUUCGGUCCAUGCAUCACUUUGAAGUCUAUAUAUUUUUAUGACAUUGGGAUGGGGAAGGAUCUCUUACAUAAGACAACAAAAGGACCAACAAUAAGAGAAAAGGUUGAUAGAUUCAACUACAUUAAAGUUAAGAACUUCUGUUUAUCAAAAAACACUGUAAAUGAAAUAAAAAGAAGGCUACCGAUUGAGAGAGGAUACA